rnacentral:lncRNA from 1 species
GCCAACCCAUCGUCACCCACACUAGUCAGUGAAUGGUGUGCUUCCCGGGGUUUGAAUAGACAUUCCCUCGCAAGCAAAAGAUUGUUCUAUGCAAAAAGAUUGUCUAUGCCAACCCCGGGAAGAACACCAUUCACCCACUCCCGCCCCGUGUGGAGUGGCGGUGAUUGGAUAGCUACGGAUUGAGCAAUUGCCAUGGAUCAAAAUGUGUCAUUUGGAAGGAUUUUUGUCAAAAAGUUUUUAAAAUCUCGUGGGUUUGUAAAUCAUAGGAGUAUCACUUUCAACGUCCCCGGUAUUGGGUUGAGUUUCUAAAAACAACCGUGCACACCGAGGUUAAACUUACCGGGUCCGCUCCGAAAACAUUUGUUUUUCAUUUUGAUGAAAAUUUCUGAUUUUAAAACGCUUUGGUUUGAAAUUGUUUUGAAAAGGUUCUUUAAAUCUUGUGGGUUUGCAACUCGUAGGAGCAUCACUUUCAACGUCCCCGGUAUUGGAUUGAGUUUCUAAAACAACCGUGCACACCGAGGUUAAACUUUACCGGGUCCGCUCCGACUCGCCGCUCACCCACACUAUUCCGAAGGCAACGAAACAUUUGUUUUUAAUUUUGAUGAAAUUGUUUUGAAAAAUUUGGUUAGGCAAUCCCAAUCCGCGACUAUCCACCCACCGCCACCCCACACGGGUGGUUGUUAGUUGCGAAAUGAGGUUGUGGUCGACAUGCCGGUGCAUUUGAGAAGGAGUUCCUAGCAACUCCGUGCUUUCCCAUGCAAAAAAAAAAGCCUAGACAACCCCAUUUCGCAACUUUCCACGCCUUUUUUUUUUUUUCCACCUCACCCAUGGCGGCGGCGUGGUGGCGGCCGGAUUCCGGCCACCACCGCCAUGGGUGGCAGCCCCCCCCCCCGACACAAACCCAUAAUAACGAGGCAACAUAUCGAGGCAACAUGACAUGGGUGUGGCGUGGGGGAAGGGGGCUGCAGCUAGGAAGGCAUGGGCUGCCAUGCAUAUGCAGUCAAC